rnacentral:rRNA from 1 species
CCGAGUUUUCGGGCUUCGGCUCGACUCUCCCACCCUUUGUGAACGUACCUCUGUUGCUUUGGCGGCUCCGGCCGCCAAAGGACCUCCAAACUCCAGUCAGUAAACGCAGACGUCUGAUAAACAAGUUAAUAAACUAAAACUUUCAACAACGGAUCUCUUGGUUCUGGCAUCGAUGAAGAACGCAGCGAAAUGCGAUAAGUAAUGUGAAUUGCAGAAUUCAGUGAAUCAUCGAAUCUUUGAACGCACAUUGCGCCCUUGGUAUUCGGGGGGCAUGCUGUUCG